rnacentral:rRNA from 1 species
CCUUCCGUAGGUGAACCUGCGGAAGGAUCAUUACCGAGUGCGGGUCCUUUGGGCCCAACCUCCCAUCCGUGUCUAUUGUACCCUGUUGCUUCGGCGGGCCCGCCGCUUGUCGGCCGCCGGGGGGGCGCCUCUGCCCCCCGGGCCCGUGCCCGCCGGAGACCCCAACACGAACACUGUCUGAAAGCGUGCAGUCUGAGUUGAUUGAAUGCAAUCAGUUAAAACUUUCAACAAUGGAUCUCUUGGUUCCGGCAUCGAUGAAGAACGCAGCGAAAUGCGAUAACUAAUGUGAAUUGCAGAAUUCAGUGAAUCAUCGAGUCUUUGAACGCACAUUGCGCCCCCUGGUAUUCCGGGGGGCAUGCCUGUCCGAGCGUCAUUGCUGCCCUCAAGCCCGGCUUGUGUGUUGGGUCGCCGUCCCCUCCUCCGGGGGGACGGGCCCGAAAGGCAGCGGCGGCACCGCGUCCGAUCCUCGAGCGUAUGGGGCUUUGUCACAUGCUCUGUAGGAUUGGCCGGCGCCUGCCGACGUUUUCCAACCAUUCUUUCCAGGUUGACCUCGGAUCAGGUAGGGAUACCCGCUGAACUUAAGCAUAUCAAUAAGCGGAGGAAAUUU